GUGCUUGCUUCGGCAGCACAUAUACUAAAAUUGGAAUGAUACAAAGAAGAUUAGCAUGGCCUCUGUAGAAGGAUGACAUGCAAAUUCGUGAAGCAGUCUAGGAGAGA